rnacentral:lncRNA from 1 species
GUGGAGGCUGGGGCUGGAGGGUGGAGGCUGCGACUGGAGGCUGGAGGGUGGAGGCUGGGGCUGGAGGGUGGUGGGUGGAGGCUGGAGGGUAGAGGCUGGGGUUGGGGCUGGAGGGUGGAGGCUGGGGCUGGAGACUGGAGGCUGGGGCUGGAGGAUGGAUGCUGGAGCUGGGGCUGGAGGGUGGAAGCUGGGGCUAGAGACUGGAGGGUGGAGGGUAGAGGCUGGGGUUGGGGCUGGAGGGUGGAGGGUAGAGGCUGGGGUUGGGGCUGGAGGGUGGAGGCUGGGGCUGGAGGCUGGUCCAGCAAAGAACCUCAGUGACCGUAGAUGCUUGUGUCCAAGCAGAAAGACUGCCUUCUGCCUAAUGGAAGAGACGGGCAAUGGGAAUAUGGAGCCAGAAACUGGGUCGGCCCCUCCUUGUCAAGGCCCGGGGUCAGAGGUCAGCCUCCAGAGUUGGAGGCAGAAAAGAAUUCCAUCUGCAAGAUUCAAGCACUCUCGAAAGGUCCGGAUCCUCCCACAGCCGUUGCGACUUGCCCGAGCAGAACCGGUUCUCUCCUGGAUGCAAGUCAGACCGCCUAAUUCCACAUCUCUUUAAUUCUCUGCCCGACGCACCGACUUGUUCCGAGGAACAAAGAGGAGUGGUGGAGACCGCCCCACAGGACGGAGCGUCCACGACCUGUGUCAUUGGUGUUGUCUUUUUUUCUGUUUUUCGGGAUCCACUUAAAUGCCUCAAGUCGUACUAGCACAGGUACGAAUUCACCUUACAAGGAAGCCAGUCGGAAGGAAGAAAAUGGAUACCUUUCAGCUUCGGCAAUUAAGGAAAUUAACUACCAGGCUUAAGAAGUUCUUCCUGAAGGAAUUUACAAGAAGUAUUUUUCACAUACGCUACACUGUUUUACACCAGUAUAGGGAAACUUGGAGAAAACGAACUGUUACCUUGCAUAUGAUUAAAGAGGGAGAGACAGCUUGGGACAGAGACCCAACCUCCAACUUGGCGUUUCUGCGGCUCAGCCCCCAGGCCUGCAGCAUCGGGUCCCUUGGAAGGUCUGUUGGAAAUGCCCGUGCUCGUCCCCUCUGCGGGCCCCGGGUAGACCCUUCAAGGGCCCGGCCAUCUGGGUUCAGAGGCCUCCGGGAGGCCCCCAGGC